GUAGUGGUGGUUCGGUGGUAGAAUUCUCACCUUCCAUGCAGGAGACCCAGGUUCGAUUCUUGGCCAUUGCA
rnacentral:tRNA from 1 species